rnacentral:rRNA from 1 species
UACAGAGGUGGCAAGCGUUGUUCGGAAUUACUGGGCGUAAAGGGCGAGUAGGCGGCCUUCUAAGUCAGACGUGAAAUCCCCCGGCUUAACCUGGGAACUGCGUCUGAUACUGGGAGGCUAGAGUAUGGGAGAGGGAUGUGGAAUUCCAGGUGUAGCGGUGAAAUGCGUAGAUAUCAGGAGGAACACCGAUUGCGAAGGCAGCUCGCUGGAACGUUACUGACGCUGAGACGCGAAAGCGUGGGGAGCAAACAGG